CAGCAAAUCCGAUAUAAAUCACAGCAAAUGCGAUAUAAAUUACAGAUCUGAAAUUCAACCGAGAAACCGAAACCAGUACAUAGAACACACAGAUCGAUCGUCCAUAGAAACUUUAACAGAGAAACCAAACAGAUUACAGAGCAUACACAUCACUACUUUAACCUUGAAAUGAAAUCAACUCCAUUACAUAGCAUAUAUACACAUCACAGGCAAGGGCUCGCCCGAGGUGCAUGCCGCAUAUGGGGCCGCCGUCGGACGCUGGCACGAGGCUGCUACCAUCUUGCUCCCAGAGAGCAGGUCGUCCACCACCAUAUGAGAAAGAGAGAGAAAGAGUGAGAGAGAGAGACAGAGAAUGAAAGAGAAAACUGAGAGAGAUGAAGAGAAAAAGACGUACCAGUCGGGCGGAUCCCAUGGAGACGGGCUCGGGAGAGGCCAGAUCUACACCAUGGCAGGGGGACACGGGCUUGAGGGCGACGAGAGACGGUGGGGGGAGGGGAGGAGCCGCGGUGACGGGCCCGAGGAAGGCUGGAUCCGCGACGGCUGGCCUCCCACCUCCAUGGACGACGCACGGGGGUAGGAGGCAGGUACAGGGUCGCGCGGGGGCGUGGU
rnacentral:lncRNA from 1 species